rnacentral:rRNA from 1 species
GCAAAAGAAGGGCGUAUGGGGGAUGCCUGGGCUCUCAGAGGCGAAGAAGGACGUGAUAAGCUGCGAAAAGCCACGGGGAACUGCACACGAGUGUUGAUCCGUGGAUAUCCGAAUGGGGCAACCCGGCUGGUUGAAGGCCAGUCACACCGCAAGGUGGGCAAACCCGCUGAACUGAAACAUCUAAGUAGGCGGAGGAAGAGAAAACAAAAGUGAUUCCGAUAGUAGUGGCGAGCGAAAUCGGAUUAGUCCAAACCAUUGUUGUUUCGGCAACAAUGGGGUUGUAGGACCACGACAUUUGGUGCGCAAUGAAUUAGAACCCUUUGGAAAGAGGGGCCGUAGACGGUGACAGCCCGGUACAAGUAAAGCGCGUUACCAAUAGUGGUAUCCUGAGUAGUGCGGGGCACGUGAAACCCUGUAUGAAUCCGGCGGGACCAUCCGCCAAGACUAAAUACUCCUGAGAGACCGAUAGUGAACCAGUACCGUGAGGGAAAGGCGAAAAGAACCCCUGAGAGGGGAGUGAAAUAGAUCCUGAAACCGUAUGCGUACAAGCAGUCGGAGCGGACUUGUUCCGUGACGGCGUACCUUUUGUAUAAUGGGUCAACGACUUAGUGCAGCAAGCAAGCUUAAGCCGAUAGGUGUAGGCGCAGCGAAAGCGAGUCUUAAUAGGGCGUUGAGUUUGUGGGAUCAGACCCGAAACCGAGUGAUCUA